UACAGCAAAAAAUAUACAAAUACACUAUUAAAAAUAGUACACUAAAAAGAGUUGCGUUCGGACCGCCGUGGCAAUCGGAUGUGCGGAGAAUCAGCUAGCAAUCCAGCUUUGAGAGUUAGCAAGGGCAGUGUAAAGAGUGGGAGAGAGUUAGAGAGAGAGAGAGAGAGAGAGAGAGAAAGAGAGAGAGAGAGAGAGAGAGAGAGAGAGUGCGAGAUAGUAGGGUGCUUUUACAAAUUAACAUCUGAUUAGUAUAAAUCAAGGGAUGGAAAACGUUCCCCUGGUCGGACGGGGGAAAGAUUUACUCCAUAUGAUAAAGAGACCGAUAAAUUAAACAAAGGUAAAAGUAGAAAACGUUUAACAUCUUUAAGUAGAAAAGUGAUUGAGAUUAUGGACGAAGAAGUAAACGCAUCUGAUUCAGAUGAAAAGCAAUCAGAGCCGAAAUCACGACUGCAAUGAGAAAAUAUCGAUUCAGCCAAGAAAGUCAUCUUAGGUGAGGACCAGCAAGAAAUUUCAGUUAUGGAAUGUUCAAAUGACGGAAUAUUCAAAUAACAGUACCGGUCAAUCACAAUGCGAGAGAACAUCAGUACAGAGCGGUUCGAAUGGGAAGACAAAUAAGGGUAUCGUUACCAGGGGUGCGUUACCCACCAGGGGUAACGCCCGCAACGCUUGCAAACCAGUUCCACAUAACGACUGCAAUCGUUAUGGUCGCGACCGAAACGUCAUAGAUGACGUCAUUAAUCGCGACCGCGCCGCAUCGAGCCCACAACGCUCACGAUUCAUACAUGAGUCCAUGCGGUCGUUUUGUUGUUUGCGCGCUAUCUUUGAUUUUAUUCGGCAGUGAAAUGGCUACAGAGAAAGUUUCAUUUUAUAAUCCUUUCAACGACACAUUAAUAGAAUUGAACUUGUCAUCAGAAGAUGCUGUUCGUGCUUGUAAAGGUAACCUCAUGUUGCUUAUAAACAGCUUGUAUAACAAUCGAUGCCUUUUAUGAGGUUAACCUUCUCAUUAAAAUUAAUGUUUUUUUGGUUAUAAUUCAUUUAACGCUACAAAUGUUUUUAAUUGUUCUUUUUCUUAUUUUAAAUGAAAAGGAAAGAAGAAAAACGCUUCAAAGCCAUUUGUAGUGUCAAGUGAAUUACAACCUUUAUAGGAAAUUAUUAAUGACACAGACUAUAUUUUAAUGUUAACUAACGUUAACUUUGUUUUUUUAAUAUUCUUUUCUUAGACUUAGUAUUUGCAACAUCCUUGAUGAAUGCUGCUCUUCAAGAACAGCAAUCAUGCCAAUUAACAGCGGUCAAUCUAAUGGCUACAAAUUGGCAUAAUGCAUACUUAUUAUUAUAGAUAACAACUGAAAAAGAAAAAGCAAAAAUGUUUUCCGAAGAGUGAGACCAACACCGUCUCGAAAGAUCAGCGCGACUAAGCCUCGAAGUCACCAAAGAAGCUUGGACAAACCGUAGACAUGAACAAAUGGCUAAAAACCAAUUUUACGAAGAAGAAGAAGGACUGUUAUAUGGCCCUAAAAUAGCUGAAUAACAGACAAAUCAUACUACCUGGAAGAUCAAUAUCGUGCACACCAGCACAUAAAGAUUUUUGCGCAGCGGUAUAUUUAAUAAUAUGUAACUUCGGUAUUUUUAAUUAAAUCUGAACAAAAAAAACUGUACAUUUUUAAAAGAUAGGUAAAAACAUAAUGCAAAUUUUGAAUUAAUUGCAUAGUUAGUUUCGAAAAAAAAUUCCUAAAUUUUGCUGUUUUUGACCCGAAAAACCUGAAUCCCCCCUUAAUUUACACUCAUUGAUAAAUUCGUAUCAAAGCAUUUUUGUGGAUGUACUGUUUUUUGGUUAAUAUUGAGAUAUUCCUGUGACCAUAUUAUAAUAGGGUAAAGUCAGUAUAUACGUAUCUACCAAAAAUUUAAUUUAUUAAGUAUUAUUUAUUAUGUUUAAGGAAAAUAAAUUAUACCAAUAAAACUUCAUAC